rnacentral:lncRNA from 1 species
AUGAAAUACAGCCCAUGGGGCACUGGUACAUGCUUGGAAGUGAUGUUAUGCUGUGAAGGAACACAGUCAUUUAUUAGUGUCAAUGGAAGGUGCAACUUCACUCCACAAAUGGCAAACAACGUAACUGGAACCCGUCUGCAUGCCACGGAAAUCAGGCGCCAGAGAGCAGCUUCCCACCUCAGUAAUGCUGUUAGGAAAAGGUCUGAUAGACACUUAAAUGUCCAGUAUUCUGUUUCUCUCUUUUCACCUGAUGAAGUUAAUUUUUGUGUUUGUCUUCAAGGAUGAAAGCAUCCAGCAGGCUGCUGGAUUUGUUCUAGGAGCAGGUCUAGGAGAGCAUGUCAAGGCUGCCUGGCUGCUGUAGGGCAUGCUGGUGGAGAAAGUUGGUGUUUAGCUACUGCGUUUAACCCUGAUGCUUUGUGGACAUUAGUCCUAGGGAGCUAGGGAUCAUUUCUCUCUUAGAAAAAAUACUAGUGCUCACUGCUCCUACCUCCUGGGAAAAGACUCAUGAAAUGGAAACGAGAUUUCACAGAAUAAAAUUGGUUUCAGGCUUUCAAGGGCUUUGCAGGUGGCUGAUCUCAGCCUCUGUGGUUCCCCAUAGUGCUUUGUUGUUUGAUUUGAUUUUACUUUGUAAUGCUAUUUAAUUAAUAAGCAACAUAUGUCAGACCUGGUGUUCUCACAGCAAUAUACAGGAUUCAGGAAUAGAUGGUAAAACCCAGGGCCAGUGAGUGCUUUGAACAGAGAUGAUGCUGGAGGAAGGCAGUGUGUGCCUGUUCUGGGGGAGGAGAAAAUCAUCACUUGCUCUUGGUUUUAGUCUGAAAUUUAUUCUAAUCCAUUGCCUCUGGGAAAGUCCAGUUCCAAUCUUUGGAGAGGCUGCAUGAUAAAAAUGGACAGGGGAGUGCACUAACAGUGGCCCUGCUGGCUGUGGUCCUGCAGUGUGAGAAAGCAUCUGUGAGUGCUGCCACAGGCAGCUCCUUGCAGCAAGGCCCUUUCUAGAGGGAAUUCACUCUCCAGGAUUUCUCAGCACACCCUG